rnacentral:rRNA from 1 species
AGAGAGAGACAUGCGCGCAUAUCAAUAAGCGGAGGAAAAGAAACUAACAAGGAUUCCCCUAGUAACGGCGAGUGAAGCGGGAAGAGCUCAAAUUUGAAAUCUUAAAGGGUUUCCCUUUACGAAUUGUAGUUUAAAGAAGUGUUUUCUGUUGAGGUUUUGGUAAAAGUUCUUUGGAAUAGGACAUCAUAGAGGGUGAGAAUCCCGUAUUUGACCAUUACUUUCCAGCUUUGUGAUACACUUUCAAAGAGUCGGAUUGUUUGGGAAGUGCAGUCCAAAAUGGGUGGUAAAUUUCAUCUAAAGCUAAAUAUUGGCGAGAGACCGAUAGCGAACAAGUACCGUGAGGGAAAGAUGAAAAGAACUUUGAAAAGAGAGUUAAACAGUACGUGAAAUUGUCAAAAGGGAAGCGUUUGACACCAGUGUUGUUUUUCUGAAAAUCAAUUAAAGAACUGUUUAUGCUAAGCUGUUUAGACUUUAUCAGCUAACUGUUUAGUUUUGAGCUUUUCUUUAAUGCACUUUUCAGUUAACAAGUCAACAUCAAUUUCUUUUGCUGUAAAAAAGCUUGAGGAAGGUGGCUUGAGAUUCGUCUUAAGUGUUUAUAGCCUCUUGCCUAUGCAGUCGGAGAGAUUGAGGUCUGCAGCGUAGAUCCUUCGGGGCUAAAUGCAUUUGUGCUAAGUUAUAGCAUUUUAUAGACAACUUGUUGACUAUGAUUUGUCUUGUAGCUUACUCGCUUAUGUUAUUUUACCUACGCUUAGGAUGUUGAGCGCAUGUCUCUCUCU